GAUCCAGAGAUGUCCGAAUGGGGGAACCCGGCAGGUAAUGCCUGUCACUCAUUACUGUUAAGGUAAUGUAGAGGAAGACGCAGUGAACUGAAACAUCUAAGUAGCUGCAGGAAGAGAAAGCAAAAGCGAUUGCCUUAGUAGCGGCGAGCGAAACGGCAAGAGGGCAAACCGAAGAGUUUACUCUUCGGGGUUGUAGGACUGCAACGUGGACUUAAAGAUUAUAGAAGAACUACCUGGGAAGGUAGGCCAAAGAGAGUAAUAGCCUCGUAUUCGAAAUAGUCUUUAUACCUAGCAGUAUCCUGAGUACGGCGAGACACGAGAAAUCUCGUCGGAAUCUGGGAGGACCAUCUCCCAACCCUAAAUACUCUCUAGUGACCGAUAGUGAACCAGUACCGUGAGGGAAAGGUGAAAAGCACCCCGGGAGGGGAGUGAAAUAGAACCUGAAACCGUGUGCCUACAACAAGUUCGAGCCCGUUAAUGGGUGAGAGCGUGCCUUUUGUAGAAUGAACCGGCGAGUUACGAUAUGAUGCGAGGUUAAGUUGAAGAGACGGAGCCGUAGGGAAACCGAGUCUUAAUAGGGCGCAUUAGUAUCAUGUCGUAGACCCGAAACCAUGUGACCUACCCAUGAGCAGGUUGAAGGUGAGGUAAAACUCACUGGAGGACCGAACCAGGGCACGUUGAAAAGUGCUUGGAUGACUUGUGGGUAGCGGAGAAAUUCCAA
rnacentral:rRNA from 1 species